rnacentral:rRNA from 1 species
UACGUAGGGUGCGAGCGUUGUCCGGAAUUAUUGGGCGUAAAGAGCUUGUAGGCGGUUUGUCGCGUCUGCCGUGAAAAUCCGGGGCUCAACCCCGGACUUGCGGUGGGUACGGGCAGACUAGAGUGUGGUAGGGGAGACUGGAAUUCCUGGUGUAGCGGUGAAAUGCGCAGAUAUCAGGAGGAACACCGAUGGCGAAGGCAGCCCCCUGGGCCGAUACUGACGCUCAGGCACGAAAGCGUGGGGAGCAAACAGG